rnacentral:tRNA from 1 species
GCGGGCGUGGCGGAAUUGGCAGACGCGCCGGGUUUAGGUCCCGGUGGGCUUCGGCCCUUGGAGGUUCGAGUCCUCUCGCCCGCA